GGUUAAGCGACUAAGCGUACACGGUGGAUGCCCUGGCAGUCAGAGGCGAUGAAGGACGUGCUAAUCUGCGAUAAGCGUCGGUAAGGUGAUAUGAACCGUUAUAACCGGCGAUUUCCGAAUGGGGAAACCCAGUGUGUUUCGACACACUAUCAUUAACUGAAUCCAUAGGUUAAUGAGGCGAACCGGGGGAACUGAAACAUCUAAGUACCCCGAGGAAAAGAAAUCAACCGAGAUUCCCCCAGUAGCGGCGAGCGAACGGGGAGCAGCCCAGAGCCUGAAUCAGUGUGUGUGUUAGUGGAAGCGUCUGGAAAGGCGCGCGAUACAGGGUGACAGCCCCGUACACAAAAAUGCACAUGCUGUGAGCUCGAUGAGUAGGGCGGGACACGUGGUAUCCUGUCUGAAUAUGGGGGGACCAUCCUCCAAGGCUAAAUACUCCUGACUGACCGAUAGUGAACCAGUACCGUGAGGGAAAGGCGAAAAGAACCCCGGCGAGGGGAGUGAAAAAGAACCUGAAACCGUGUACGUACAAGCAGUGGGAGCACGCUUAGGCGUGUGACUGCGUACCUUUUGUAUAAUGGGUCAGCGACUUAUAUUCUGUAGCAAGGUUAACCGAAUAGGGGAGCCGAAGGGAAACCGAGUCUUAACUGGGCGUUAAGUUGCAGGGUAUAGACCCGAAACCCGGUGAUCUAGCCAUGGGCAGGUUGAAGGUUGGGUAACACUAACUGGAGGACCGAACCGACUAAUGUUGAAAAAUUAGCGGAUGACUUGUGGCUGGGGGUGAAAGGCCAAUCAAACCGGGAGAUAGCUGGUUCUCCCCGAAAGCUAUUUAGGUAGCGCCUCGUGAAUUCAUCUCCGGGGGUAGAGCACUGUUUCGGCAAGGGGGUCAUCCCGACUUACCAACCCGAUGCAAACUGCGAAUACCGGAGAAUGUUAUCACGGGAGACACACGGCGGGUGCUAACGUCCGUCGUGAAGAGGGAAACAACCCAGACCGCCAGCUAAGGUCCCAAAGUCAUGGUUAAGUGGGAAACGAUGUGGGAAGGCCCAGACAGCCAGGAUGUUGGCUUAGAAGCAGCCAUCAUUUAAAGAAAGCGUAAUAGCUCACUGGUCGAGUCGGCCUGCGCGGAAGAUGUAACGGGGCUAAACCAUGCACCGAAGCUGCGGCAGCGACGCUGAUGCGUUGUUGGGUAGGGGAGCGUUCUGUAAGCCUGCGAAGGUGUGCUGUGAGGCAUGCUGGAGGUAUCAGAAGUGCGAAUGCUGACAUAAGUAACGAUAAAGCGGGUGAAAAGCCCGCUCGCCGGAAGACCAAGGGUUCCUGUCCAACGUUAAUCGGGGCAGGGUGAGUCGACCCCUAAGGCGAGGCCGAAAGGCGUAGUCGAUGGGAAACAGGUUAAUAUUCCUGUACUUGGUGUUACUGCGAAGGGGGGACGGAGAAGGCUAUGUUGGCCGGGCGACGGUUGUCCCGGUUUAAGCGUGUAGGCUGGUUUUCCAGGCAAAUCCGGAAAAUCAAGGCUGAGGCGUGAUGACGAGGCACUACGGUGCUGAAGCAACAAAUGCCCUGCUUCCAGGAAAAGCCUCUAAGCAUCAGGUAACAUCAAAUCGUACCCCAAACCGACACAGGUGGUCAGGUAGAGAAUACCAAGGCGCUUGAGAGAACUCGGGUGAAGGAACUAGGCAAAAUGGUGCCGUAACUUCGGGAGAAGGCACGCUGAUAUGUAGGUGAAGUCCCUUGCGGAUGGAGCUGAAAUCAGUCGAAGAUACCAGCUGGCUGCAACUGUUUAUUAAAAACACAGCACUGUGCAAACACGAAAGUGGACGUAUACGGUGUGACGCCUGCCCGGUGCCGGAAGGUUAAUUGAUGGGGUCAGCGCAAGCGAAGCUCUUGAUCGAAGCCCCGGUAAACGGCGGCCGUAACUAUAACGGUCCUAAGGUAGCGAAAUUCCUUGUCGGGUAAGUUCCGACCUGCACGAAUGGCGUAAUGAUGGCCAGGCUGUCUCCACCCGAGACUCAGUGAAAUUGAACUCGCUGUGAAGAUGCAGUGUACCCGCGGCAAGACGGAAAGACCCCGUGAACCUUUACUAUAGCUUGACACUGAACAUUGAGCCUUGAUGUGUAGGAUAGGUGGGAGGCUUUGAAGUGUGGACGCCAGUCUGCAUGGAGCCGACCUUGAAAUACCACCCUUUAAUGUUUGAUGUUCUAACGUUGACCCGUAAUCCGGGUUGCGGACAGUGUCUGGUGGGUAGUUUGACUGGGGCGGUCUCCUCCUAAAGAGUAACGGAGGAGCACGAAGGUUGGCUAAUCCUGGUCGGACAUCAGGAGGUUAGUGCAAUGGCAUAAGCCAGCUUGACUGCGAGCGUGACGGCGCGAGCAGGUGCGAAAGCAGGUCAUAGUGAUCCGGUGGUUCUGAAUGGAAGGGCCAUCGCUCAACGGAUAAAAGGUACUCCGGGGAUAACAGGCUGAUACCGCCCAAGAGUUCAUAUCGACGGCGGUGUUUGGCACCUCGAUGUCGGCUCAUCACAUCCUGGGGCUGAAGUAGGUCCCAAGGGUAUGGCUGUUCGCCAUUUAAAGUGGUACGCGAGCUGGGUUUAGAACGUCGUGAGACAGUUCGGUCCCUAUCUGCCGUGGGCGCUGGAGAACUGAGGGGGGCUGCUCCUAGUACGAGAGGACCGGAGUGGACGCAUCACUGGUGUUCGGGUUGUCAUGCCAAUGGCACUGCCCGGUAGCUAAAUGCGGAAGAGAUAAGUGCUGAAAGCAUCUAAGCACGAAACUUGCCCCGAGAUGAGUUCUCCCUGACUCCUUGAGAGUCCUGAAGGAACGUUGAAGACGACGACGUUGAUAGGCCGGGUGUGUAAGCGCAGCGAUGCGUUGAGCUAACCGGUACUAAUGAACCGUGAGGCUUAACCUU
rnacentral:rRNA from 1 species